rfam:Equus caballus chromosome 24, whole genome shotgun sequence.
GCCCUGGUGGUCUAAUGGUUAAGAUUUGGCAUUCUCACUGCCGUGGCCCAGGUUCAUUUUCUGGUCAGGGAA